UUCCCCCUCGUGGAAGUGGGUCAGUUCCCCCAGUCCCCAGUCCCCCGCAGGAUGUGCGGGAUUUCUUUUAAGCUGUUACCGACUCACCUUUGAUCUUGCCUUUUCGCCACCGCCUGCGACUGCGGUUCUUCGAUCCUUCUUUGCCCUGCUUGGAGGCCUGGGCCCCCACGGGCGCCGAUUCCACGGCCGGCUCCAUCAAUUCUUUCCAGUCUUGGCGCGGGGCCCAAUUCCAGCGAUCAAGUUCCUCUCUUAGAGUCAAUCCUAGUUACACACCACUGCCAGGCCCCCAAACCAUCCAAUCCUGGGCAGGCUCCUCGCGGAGCUCCGCCUUUAAUGGGUGGGGCUGAAGGUCUUGGCCCGCCCAUCUGCUCAGAUUAAAGGAACCGCGCAGUGCACCGUAACGACAAACAAAAAAACCAAAAACCAAAAAAAACCCGCAGUCCUGGAAGCGGCGAGAAGUGCCCUCACAGCAGGAAUAGUGAGGAGUCGCGUUAGAGUCACCCCAACAAAGAAUUCUCAGUCAUCUUGUGCAGAAUCAAAGGAAAGGGGAAGACAGCAACACCGCCGGCCUCAGGGUUGAUCUACAGAAAGGAGCGACUGGGACCUAUGGCUGUUACCUGCCAUUGCUUCGGAGAGGCGGCAAGGAAGAAGCGCCACAGCUCACCAGCACUUCACUACGCUGUUUCCAUUCCGCCUGGAUCUUGCCACAGACCUCUGCAGCCCUAUCCAGGCCCCGCUCCCAAGCUUCUCUACCCCAUGAAACCUAGUCAUUCCACGGCGCUGAGGCCCUGUAGAGGCACCGGGUGGCAGAGGUGAGACCGUCUCGAAGCAGAGGCUGUGAAUGGCCUGGAUGUUCGGCUAGUCUACACACACUUGCCGAGUGAGGCAGAUGUGUAAUCAAGGAAUGGUAUAUACUUCGUAAGCCUCGAGGUGCAAUGCAGUCAGCGUUCUACGGUUGUGGAUGUUCACUGGGGACUGAAAUGGUGAUUAGAUACUGCUACCUGCUGAGAGGCCCUGGAGCUAUUUGGGAGACUACACCCUAUCCUGCACAUCAUCACCUGCAGCUGGUUCCAGGCUCCAAGUUCCAAGAUGCCUUCCAGGCUAAAACCCGGACAUGUGAGCCACUGGCAGGCCCCAACAAUUACACGAACCAACGUGGAACCUGGGAAAGGCAGAGGACAUUUGGAAGAAGCACUGCUGGUUUGGAGCUCCAUGGAAGAAGAAAAGAAUUAAAGAAAACCCGUACUGGAGAAGCAUGUGCAAAGUCAGUAUCGUGAGGAGUAUCCUGCCCAGAAAGGCUGAUCCAUCUUUGCACUGGCAUGCCCACUAGCAGCAACUUGUCUGGUGUCUGGGUAUCCUUUGGGCCCUGUGUACUCGGUUUGUACUAUCUCAAAACUCAGACUUUGGCUGCUAAAAACAUGUUCCCAGGUUUAGCCAUUUGAGGGUGUCACUACGUCAUGUUGGAGGCAGAUGGCUCUGAGAAGCUCUUCAGUCUUCUCUCCAAAGCAGUGAAAACUGCAGAGCAGUGCACCGACCCGGAACAUUGGCAUUAUUGCCCCUGAACUAUUCAAGAAAUGCUUUGACUCUCACUGUGUGAUGAUAGAGCCCAUCUUGGAGUCUCUUCUGGGUCCCCCGAUUCCAUGAUCCCACUAGGAACACAGGAAGAUGAAGUAAAACCGAGGAAACUGUGUAGGAUUGGGAUGUGUGCCCGACAGCCUGAGGCACAGGAAGUCCUGGGAUACAGUGAUCCUCCGAGGGCUCAGUGACACUGGAAAUAUUAGGGGUGUCACCAUUUUGAUGAUGUUGCUAGCCAGGUUAAUGGCCAGGUCACAUGGUCACCCUUAUCUUAAUGAAGGCAUCAGUCAAGAUGGCAACAAAGC
ensembl:antisense